GCAGUCAAACCUCCUUUCUCUAAUAAAGAAAAAUCUGCCUUUCUGAAUUAAUGCUUGAGAAAUGUCCUUUUCCUACUGGUUCACAUUUAGCCCAAAAAUGGCAUUUGAUUCAACAGCAUACAGCUCCUGUGAGUCCACAUUCAACAUUUUUGAUACAUUUAAUCCAUAUUUAGUUUCUACAGAAGACAAGAUGGAGAAGAUGGCUUAGUAUUAAAGAAGUUGAUUCCCCUCCUAAUGCACAAAUACAUACAUUUGAAGCUACUCCACAGGUUAACCCAUUAGAUAAGCUGAGACCAAAGUUAAUUCCUGGAAUGACUGAAAUAAGAGGAAACAGCUCUGCAGUCCUGCAAGCUAAUUGUGACUUGGAAGAGGAGAGGACCACCCUGUGUUUGUAGUCAUUGAGGGAGAAGCAGCGUCAGGUAUCUGGAGACAGCCAUGCCCACGUGACCAGAUAGGGAGCAUGGACAGUCCACAGAUUGAUUACAUACACUGCCUCCUGUCCUAUUUGCUCUAGAUUACAGGGAAUCCCUGUUACUGUGGAGUGAUGGACCUUUCCCAAGGGAAACCUAAAGGCAAAUUUUGCUCAUGGACUCUGAGCACAAGGACAGCCUCUUCUCUGAGCUUUUGCCAUGACAGCAGAUCCCUGCAUACGCAAAUUGAGCAGCGGAUUCACAACUUUAGUUUUGAUGUCCAUGACUCGUGUGGAUUUCACUUCUAUACUGUAACAGAACUUUUAGAACUUUAUAAAGAUCCUAGGUCUUGCAUGUUUUUUGGACUGUUGCUUGCUAUAUCUCUAGAUGGGACUUCUCCUUUUAGCCUGCGAUAUAUCUGCCAUGUGGUAAUCUGCAGGUGCACUAUAUACGAUGGAUUGAUUGGAUCCCUUUACCGUCAAUGUUACAGGAAUUUUUAAAAGUAUCAUUAUAAACAAAAAGUUAGGAUUCAGAAGUUA
rnacentral:lncRNA from 10 species